CGAACGUCGGUCGGCGUCGCCCCGGCGUGCGACUGGCUUCCCUCGUGCACGGCGCCAUUUGUUAUGACUUCUGGUUCCUCGGAGAAGCAAACAGCCGAACUCGAUCCGCCGCGGAGAAUCAACAAGGCGGGCGGAAAAAAGGUUCUGUGACUUCUGAUUGAAUCUCCCUCCCUCUCUCUGCGAUGCCCUCUGACCUGCUUUGCCGUACGGGCUGUCACAAGCGCGCUCCCCUUGUCACGCGUGUUUAGAUCGGCCAGGAUGAAUUCCCUCAUGACGAACCAGCCUUAAAAACAUUGACUUCCGCGGCAGCUUGAGGUGACGCAAUGACCGCUCACAGGCUUCAGGUCACGCGUGUGCGGCCGGUGACAUUUAUUCAUCGAGCGUAGAGCAGCACGGAAAGCUUCUCUCAGAGGAAGAGACGUUUCUCCAUCAUCUGCCGGGUGGCUCCAGUCGGGAGUUUGAUUGACAGGCGGUCCGUCCAAUCACCAGCCACCUGUUUACUCCGACGUGCCAGAUGGUUCCCCUGUAACAGAACAUCUGGGGGGGGUCAGCUGAGUCCGAGCAAUUAUUAUUGCGGCGAGAAGAAAACUUUACGGCGUACGGCGCCGACAAAAAGAACGUGAGAGUGAUCGAGUGGCAACUUGAAUAUAUGAAAAAUACACGUAAAAGACAAAAAGUGUGUAAAUGAUGUAUUGUAUCCCGCCUUUUUGCACUUGACUAGACAACCACCUAAUGCUUCUCCUCAUAAUCGGACACCGGUUGCGAGCUGUAUUUGUCUCUGAGGUCAGUCACAUGACCCUCAGCUCUCCGGCACGUUCUUGUUCAUAAUUAACCACAUCGCUCCCUGGAUGAAUGAAUCAAUAACUGCUCCAGCCAGUCGGACAGCCUCCCUGGGAUGCCUGUGUGUGUGUGUGUGUGCGUCCCUGUCAUGCUGUGUAAGUAUGUUAAUGCGUGUGUGUGUUUGCCCCCUGUCAUUAGCCCCAAUGAUUGACAAAGUCCUCCCAUUUCACCUCCUCCCUCCCUCCUCCCCUUCCUUCCCUUAUUGACCCUCCUGUCAGCGGGCUGUCAGCGGGACUUCCUCAUGUCAUCAAAAGGAGGACUUUAUCUCGAUGGACAGUCCCUCCCCAUCCCUCAUGUACCUCACGGCUUAUCUGGGAUACUGUAUCUGACAGGGAGGCAAAUUGAGUGCUUUCUUGUAUUUCUGCCUUUAAAAAAUAAAGAGUGUCCACACGGCAGUCAAACGGGUGAGAACGGAGUGUUGGUCACCCCCAGGGGGGUCGAUUUAGGAGGGUUGUUGGGGCUUUUUAGGCUGUACUAAUAAUAAAGGUUGUUAUUUUAUUUCUACUUUGUUCUGUUCCUGUUGUUUGUAUUUAACUGUAAGGGAGUUCUGAACAAAU
ensembl:lncRNA